UUCUACGUAGCCAAUAGGGAGCCGCAGACGACUUCCCCCUGAUGAAUUACGAACAAGGAAUUUGCAUUCUGGGAAUUGUAGUUUCCCAAUAGGAACAAGCUGCAGCAGGCCUUAACGUCAGUGUCACGUGGUCUCAGAGGCUAACCCACAACGCCAGCCUUCAGAGUUUGGCUCCUGAGUGCAAUCAGGCUGUCAUUGACGUCACUCAUUCAUUUGUAUGAUAAUUAAAUAUGCGCUAGGUGGAUAUACGGUUCUCAAAGGCAAGAAGUUACUGUAAAAGAUGUUAACCAAGAGUCUCAUUCUGUUUACACCGUCGUGGGAACCCUGCAGUAGCAUCUUCGUGGCGGGUGUUUGUUGUUGCUGCUGUUCAAGGCUUUGUCAUGUUGUCAUGAUGGGUAUGCUGGUGACACCAGCUUCCGGGGCACAGCCUGGUGCACUGAAGUCUGCUCCCUCUUCCUGCAUGUGGAAUCAUCCUGCUUUUCUGAUCCUUUCAGUCUGAACAUCCACUUUCCUGUGAGUUCUGAACCCCGCACCACUCUGAGAUUAUAUUUAACAGCUAGAUCUCAAAAUUCCUAUAAUGUAACAAUUAACUCCUGUGAGCCAACAUGAGCUGACUUCAACACACCACUGGAAAAGGAAAAGAAAAACAGGAAUUUCUUAUCCAGAAUAGAAGCUUCCUCCUGUUCCAUGAAGAUCUCAAAUCACUCUGAAAAAUGGGAAUAUCACUGGGGGCUGGUCUUGUGGAGUAACAGACUUUGAUAUCCUGAUGUCACCAAAUCUUAAACUCCCAGGAUAUGCAAGAAAUUUCUUUCCUGGAGAAUUGCUUUUGCAAGGCAGAGACAGAUCAAGAGAGAGACAAAGACAGAGAGCGCUUCCAUCUUGUUCACUCCCCAGAUGCCUGCCACAACCAGAGCUGGGCCAGGGUGAUACUAGGAGCCCAGAACUCAGUCAGGUCUCCUAGAUAGGAGCAGGGACCCGAAGGCUUGAGCCAUCACUACUUCCUCCCAGAGUGUGCAUUAGCAGGAAGCUAGAAUCAGAAGCAGAGCUGGGACUGGAACCUAGAAACUCUGACAGAGUUCCUGCUGCUGUGCCAAAAGUUCACCAACAAAAUCUACUUUUAAAGAUCUCUAAUAGAAAGGCUUCCCACUGUGCCAGUGAGCAGAUGGACGGGGCUACCUACUUUCUGCAGAGUUGAAGAUUGGUCAAGAGAUCAAGGAACAAUUUAAUUCGAAGAUUUCCUAUCAACUCGGUACAUUUGUAAGGACGGAACCCAAAAGGCAAGUGGGGGAAUGAAAGGACACUGAUACCCAGUGCUCAGUAAAUCUAAAAAUCCAAAAUAAAUAGCAAUAUUUUCAACUUAACUCAAUGGCUUAAAGUCAGCUGAAAUAUUCUAUUUUUUUAAAAAAAGCUUCACUUAUUCUAUGUAAUUAUUGUGGCUAAAGUCAGUGUCAUAUGUAUUGUAUCUCUAAUAACAAGUGCCUCCUAAGUACCUAGAGAAGACUGACAGGCUUCUUAGAACUCUUGCUGUGGGGAAAAGAGAAACCUAGGGAGGGAACAAAAAUCAAACAAAUUUUUUAAACUCCUUAAUGCUGAUAAGUCUGAAUUUGGAAGUGUUUCCUUCAUUGAGUCACUGAUACUACUCCUAUUAUCAAGAAUAACUAGAAAAAGCGAUUUUUUAUAACUCAAGACUCAUACAUUUCUAGGAUAUCUAUAAAUGGGCUUUUAGAGGUCUGUGAACCCCUAUUCCUCAGCAAGUCUUAUGAUAAAUUAUAUGUGAUAGUUACACUGUAUCAAUUUGGAUAAGAUGGAACUAUAUGUUUUCCAGAAUUCCCUUUUGUGCAGAUUUCCAAGGUAGUGCUGGCCUCAGAAGACAUUUUGCAUAACACUUAGAAAGUGGAAGUGGAGCCAUAGCCUGCAUGGCAGGUGGGUGUGGGGCACUGGCACUGUGGGAGCUCAUGCGUGUUGCUAUUUACCUGCUGGCUUACCUUGCUGGCAUGAGGCAGUAAGCAGCUGGCCUCCUGCCAGAUCCUCCUGCUGAGUCAGCUUCCCUAAAUCUUGGACCGGAUGCAUACUUAGCUCCAUGAGGGAAGGUACCAGUUCCUCCUCACCCAGCUUGCUUUGCUUCCUCUGUCUUCUAUUCCCAAUCUGUGGACUUCAGGUGCCAGUGCCAGACACAGAAACACCAAAUUGAAAUCUUUACUAAGCCCUUUUAACCAGUUCCCACAAUAUUAUAAGG